AUGAACGCUGGCGGCGUGUCUUAGGCAUGCAAGUCGAUCGGUGCAGCAAUGUAACCGAGGCAAACGGGUGAGUAACACAUUGGUAACCUACCUUGAACACGGGCAUAACCCGGCGAAAGCUGGAUUAAAUCCCGAUAGUCAUGAGGGGACAUAAGUCAUUCUCAUGUAAAUACUUUCGUGGUUCAAGAGGGGCCUAUGGUCCAUCAGCUAGUUGGUAAGGUAAUGGCUUACCAAGGCUAUGACGGAUAGCAGGCGUGAGAGCGCGACCUGCCUCACUGGGACUGAGAACUGCCCAGACUCCUACGGGAGGCUGCAGUCGAGAAUAUUCCCCAAUGCGCGAAAGCGUGAGGGAGCGACGCCGCGUGACCGAAGAAGCCUUUCGGGGUGUAAAGGUCUUUUCCAGAGGAAAAACAAGUGAUAUUACUCUGGGAAUAAGGGGCUGCUAACUUCGU
rnacentral:rRNA from 1 species